UUAAUAUUUUAUGAUGUAUUUAAAUGAGUAGUUAUUGUUGCAAACUCCAUUAGAAAUUUUAAUUGAGAUUAGUUUUGGAAUAAGGGAAAGGGGGAUGUGAUUAAAAAAAUUGGGUUCAAUUUUUCUCAUUUGAAAUUUCAUAAAUAAAAAAGAAAAUUUCUUCAAACAUUUUUAUGCCCCACCUACGAUAGUAGAGGGGCAUUAUGUUUUCUGGUCUGUGCGUCCGUCCGUCCGUCCGUCUGUCCUGCUUCAGGUUAAAGUUUUUGGUCAAGGUAGUUUUUGAUGAAGUUUAAUUCCAAUCGACUUCAAACUUAGUACACAUGUCCCCUAUGAUAUGAUCUUUCUAAUUUUAAUGCCAAAUUAGAGUUUUUACCCCAAUUUUACGGUCCACUGAACAUGGAAAAUGAUAGUGCGAGUGGGGCAUUCGUGUACUGAGGACACAUUCUUGUUUUGAGAGGAUUAAUAUUCAACAGCAUAGUGAAUUGCUCUAAGAGAAAACAAAAAUUUUAAGUUCAUUAGAACACAUUCAUUCUGUGUCAGAAACCUAUGCUGUGUCAACUAUUUAAUCACAAUCCAAAUUUAGAGCUGAAUCCAGCUUGAAUGUUGUGUCCAUACUUGCCCCAACCGUUCAGGGUUCAACCUCUGCGGUCGUAUAAAGCUACGCCCUGCGGAGCAUCUGGUUGGAGUGUGAUUUCACUCGAGGUUUGCUUGGCUAUCAAUUUAGAAUUUUGUAUGAAAGAUACCUUUCCUGUAGCUAUUACACCAUUUUUAAUGACUUUGUUUACAUUUUUUAUGAUGGGAUGUAGUUUGAUACAAAAGAUGUUCCAGUUGACAGUAACAGCAUAUGUUAUGGUAAUCUUGGUAAAGUUUAACAGUGGUCUAGCCAAUUUACUACAGAGUAUAUAGAAAAAGGGUAACUUUGGGAACACUAGAAAAUUGUAAAAACUUACAAUACUCAAUGUGAUUCUAUAAUAUGGAGUAUAAAUAUUACCAACUGAUAACCAGAGUUGCCCUUUUCCUGGGAUAAGUAUUACCCUAUUUGAAUACUGGGAACUGGUGUUUAAAUUUUGUCCACAUAAUCUUGACAUUUAUAGCAGAUUUGUAAACAAAACUAUGUGUUGAUGUAUUAAAGUUUAACUAUCUAACUUAGCCUUUAUUGCACAAAUUUUGUCUUGCUAUAAUUUUAUGGUUUUAAAAAACAUUCUUUAAUAUUGUAUUUCCAUGAGAAUGUGAAAUAAGAUAUAAUAAACCUUCAAAAAAAAUAAAUUUGUAAAACUUUGGAACUUUUUGUGUUGUUAGGUUGCUGUCUCAACAUUUACCUGAACAUUUCCUUUAAUUUCUAUAUUUUCUUCUUUUUUUUUAUCUUGCUAUCUCUUGAUCUUCUUUUUGUUUUAAAUGAGGGCUAUGUUUUAAUUUUUUACAAAUCCAAUAUGCGAGUUCCAUCAAGUUAAAUCACUGAAAAGAUUUGACUUGAAUUGUAUACACACUUGGUUUAUUAUUAACAAAAAAUAAGAUUAAGAUGACCUUGUUAUCUAACAAAUUUCUAUGCCUUUUCCUUUUCUGAAAACUAUAGAAUCUCAUAACUUUACUUUAUGAUAUAUAAUGUUUUGUGAACAACUGUUCUGUUGAUUUGCUAUAAAUAGAGUAGGAGUAGGAAUGAAAUCUUGAUGCUGUUGACAAUUAUUUCAUUAUUAUAAAAUCUGAUAAUUGAAACUCAAUAAUGUUAUCAUUUCUCCAAAAUAUACAAGUCUUUUGAGUUUAUAUUUAUGAAUAAAAAAUAAA
rnacentral:lncRNA from 1 species